rnacentral:lncRNA from 7 species
AUGUCUAGGCAGAGCCUACUGGUCUGAAGCUCUGAGCUGGGCUCUAACCCCUAGAGAGCAGCAGUACCUCUACUAUCUACCAUAGCCCUGGUCUGCGUGGCUCCCUCAGCAGCAGCUAGAGUUCUCUGAGGACCUCGCCCUCUCACACGCUCCCCAUAUGUACAACACAUCCCUGAGCCCCAUAAACUUCUGCGCUUACCAGGAUUCCAUCUGCCUUGGAAGGUCUGAAAUCAUCUCCUCAACUUACAUUCAAGGACUAUUUAAACCAGAGGUAACGCUCUCUUGACUGUAAAGGCUACAUACGGAGAUGAUGAUACUCUUCACUUUAGCCAUCCUUCUGGGGGAAUUCCCAGAAUCCAGCAAUGCUGCUACUGUACAGAUCUCCUUCGCAAAAUAGCUGCUUUAUCUUCAAAUAUUUUAUGAAACCUUUGAGAAGCUGCUGCUGAAAGUAAAGCUGUUAGAAGAGUCUGGUAGGAUUUGAAAAGCGCAAUCCGCUGAGAGCCGUGGGAGUCCCUGCAGCAAACCUCUCUGAAGCAGGUUCAGUCAUUGCUGUGGGUGAACAUAUGUUUGCCUUGUUCUAGUAGGAGAGGAGCGCGUUCCCCACCGACACAAAGCCUCAUCCUUCUGAAGAGGGAUUUUCUGAACAUCAGCAGCUUGUCCAAAUGCUAAUCCUGAAAUUAGUCAAGUGACUCUCCAAAGGCUGGUGUUUUUUUUCAAUAAAUGUUACUAUUAUCCUGAACACUGUUUUUAUUUAUCCACAAAAUCUGCAAGAGAUGCUCUUAUUUGUGAUAUGAUUCUCCAGUUUUGAAUUUAAUGAGGAAGCUGUUAUUGAAAUAAUAUGAGUUAAGAUACAUAUAUAAAUAUUUAUAUAGCACAUUACAUUUAUAAAUGGCCUGUUCGUAGCCAUGGCUUAUAAGCAUCAUGUGUUUUCCCAUUUUUGAUAGGGACUUGCAUGGCAGUGUUGCUGGAAGAGAAAAUUACAGGGCAACAACUGGGAGUUUAGAAGAUAUCUAGAACUGUAAAAAUGUUGGCCUUGAAACAGGCAGGGAGAGCUGCUGAUUUUCUGGGCACUGGCCAUGAGCACUGCACUGAGAGAAGAUGGAUAUGGAGCUUGCAGUAAGAGACUGGCAAUCUCUUUAGAGGGCUCUCCCUCACUGUAACAGAUAACAUCCCAGAGAACAAACAUCCCCAAAUCCAUUUGUGCUGAGACUCAGACCUCUUCCUACUACUACACG